UAGGUUAAUUAGGUUUAGAUUCUCCUCUACAUAUUAGAAACAUAUAUAUCUUAACCUUCGUGAUACAAUUCUUUCAAUCUCUAUCUCUCAUCAUUCUCUAUAUUAAUUUAGGAAGGAGACAAGCAUGGAUUGGGACCCAAAUGAGCGCGAUGAACCUCCACUACUGAAAUUCUUGAGCCAUAUGAGGAAUAUGAAUACUCCGUUAUUCUCAGGAGGCGCAAACCCCUUGGAUGCUAAUAUAAACGGGUGUCCCCUCGAUUUUAGGAUGGAUAUUGCUGUGCGUUUCUUGGUGGCAACAAGUUGAGCGUGGAAGAAAUGUGAAGACAUGGAUAGAGUUUGAAAAUGUAUUCAGGAUGCGGUAUCUUCCACCGGAGGCUAGGGAUUCCAUUGAGCUUCAGUUCUUUAAGCUAGAACAAGGGAGUAAGUCCGUUUGGGAGCAGAGCCGUGCCAAGGCUUUUAUGUUUUCUUCGAGAAGAUUAUGACAAGGAGCAAGCUGAUAUUCGUAGGUUUAUAAGGGGACUGAGACCCGACAUCCGGACAUAUCUACUCGGUGUAGAGUUUCAACGGCUAGAAGAUGUUGUCGAAAAAGCUAUUCUGAUAGAAGAAAGCAUUCAAGAGGAGCAGGGAUUAUUUUUAGGCUCCGUCACUACCUUGUUUAUCUAAUAUUUUAUAUGUCUUUAGAUGAAUCUUUUGAUGGUAUGAAAAACUCUCGCUUUUUGUUCAAUAUUCAACUGUG